rnacentral:rRNA from 1 species
CCUACGGGAGGCUGCAGUGAGGAAUAUUGGUCAAUGGCCGGAAGGCUGAACCAGCCAUGCCGCGUGAAGGUCAGUGCCCUAUGGGCGUUAAACUUCUUUUGUGCGGGAGCAAUAAUGGUCACGUGUGGCCAGACGAGAGUACCGUACGAAUAAGCAUCGGCUAACUCCGUGCCAGCAGCCGCGGGAAUACGGGGGAUGCAAGCGUUAUCCGGAUUUAUUGGGUUUAAAGGGUGCGUAGGCUGUGAGGUAAGUCAGCGGUGAAAUGCCCCCGCUCAACGGGGUGAAGUGCCAUUGAUACUGCCUGGCUGGAAUGCGGAUGCCGUGGGAGGAAUGUGUGGUGUAGCGGUGAAAUGCAUAGAUAUCACACAGAACACCGAUUGCGAAGGCAUCUCACGAAUCCGCGAUUGACGCUGAUGCACGAAAGCGUGGGUAUCAAACAGGAUUAGAUACCCGAGUAGUC